AUGCAGGCCAAGAGGUAUGAAGGUCAAGGAGAAGACCGUACGAGGAUCAGCAAGACUCGUUGGUGGCUUGGAGAAAGCAAAAAAAAGAAAAGAAAAAGAAGACAAAUGAUUAUUUACAACUACAACCUGAAAUGCCUUUCACAAUUCAAAUGCCUAUGUAUAACCCAAUCUUAUUGGUAUAUAGGAAGUCUGCCUUUUUUAACUUUCUCAUUAUCAAACUUCAGUGAUGCUAAGCUUUCUAUUAAUCUUCAUAGGGUCAUUUGGGAGAAAUAUAUUGGACCAGGAUCAGCAGGACCCGUUGGUGACUUGGAGAAAGCAAAAAAGAAGAAAAAGAAGAUUGCCGAUUCUUUAGAACUACGGCGUGAAAUGCCUUUCACAAACCAAAUGCCGAGGUAUCUACCACAACACAACCCAGCCCAAAUGGGUCAUCUGGGAGCUCUGCCAAAUCAUCUAUACCCCUAUUUGGCACAACAUGGUCCUACCAGUGGUACCUCUACCCCUAUGAUGAUGCCAGGACAGAAUCUAUUAUUCUUAGAACAAUAG
rnacentral:rRNA from 1 species